rnacentral:tmRNA from 1 species
GGGGGCGACCUGGUUUCGACAGGUGCAGUGAAGCAGGCAGGGCAUGCCGAGCGCCAACGCCUCGUAAAACCGCUGGAAUCGCAAACUUAACUGCGAACGACGAAACGUACGCCCUGGCCGCUUAAUACCGGCCAGCUCCGCACCCGUUUUUCACUGGGUGGGGCCAGAACACCGGCAGCGGAGUCAUAAACAGUGAAUCGGAACCCGCCGGGCCGCUUGGCGGGGACCUAAAUCCAAGGCGGCUGGCGGUGAAGCCCGGGAGCCGGUUCCUGGGUGAGCCGCGAGAGCUGAACAACCGGCUACGCAUGUAGAACUGUUUGUGGAGUGGCAUCUGGACGCGGGUUCGAUUCCCGCCGCCUCCACCA